UUUUUUUUUUAAAAAAAGAUCUGGAUAUUUCCUUAUGACUUGGAAUCCAUCUUUGUCUUGUGUAACUAGGUCAUAGCACACCAUUAAUGUCAGCAGUUAACAAUUUUGAAUUCCAAAAAAAACCUAAGUAAAUGACAUACUUAAUUUUUUUAAUCUUUUUUUUUUUUUUUUCCUUUCUUUUUUUUCUUGGGUGGGUGGUGGUGGGGGGAGCUUGGAGCUGUCUUAAUCUGUAUUCUCUUGACUGAACAAUAAAUUUUUAAAUAUAUAGUUUCCUCUAUUAAACACUUAAACCUGGCCAUCUUAUUAACUCCUUCUGCUCGCUCUCUCUCUUUUUUUUUUUUUUUGGUAACAAGGUAAUGUUUUAAAUGUAUAGCUUUAGGACUAGCGAAAUGGCAGCAACAAAAAACUGUAAGCAGUUGUAACUCUUUUUAAGUUCUUAAAAAACCUUUUUACCUUGUAAGUACCCAAUCCAUUCUGUCCUUAACGCAGUGCAGUUUUCAUGUUAAUGUUGCUGAGAUGUCCUUAAUUUUCUGAACCUUCAUCUGCAUGUCUUGUCUUUGUCGCUCUUGUCUAAAAUAAGAAGCCAGUUAAAAUGCUUUGAGACGAUUUUGCUUUUAGAAAGCUAAGGCUUUAGCUUUCGGAAAUGUUUACAGCAAUGAAUGCUAGUCAGCUUUCUUCCCAGGAACAUGUACACUUUUCUUUGAAAAAUCGAUCUAUUUGGGGGGGGGGUUAAAAAACAGCUCUGUUUUUCUGGUCUUGGUAGAGGGGUGGGUGAGGGAAAGGAAGACCUCUUUGUGUAAAGAGACGAAAAAGCCGUCACAGGAAACUAGAUUAAAACUGGAAAACAAGUCCUGGCUGGUUCGAGCCAAACACCGACGUUGUUAACUCGCGGGGUGUUUGCUAUGGUGGUUGGGAUGGCCGCGUGUCUUUUUCGCCUUUUGUUUGACCUGACUGUGUGUUUUCGCCUUUUGUCUCUUAAUGACGGUCACACCAUUGCUAUAUCCAGAGCAGUAAACAGUCCUCAGCGAAGCCGCCUUUUGCCAACCCAACCCUGGAAAGUUUACAGAAGUGGAAGGAGCAGAAAAUGCCAUGAGAGUGUAACUUAACCCCCAAAAAAGGCUCUUGGCCAGAGAAGGGGCCGCGUUGCCGGUACCCCCCGAGCGGACCGCCCUCCCCUGGACAGCAGGAGCAGGCCUAGCUUGACUCUGACAGUCCUCCUACUAAGGAAAAUACCACGCUAACAGCACCAUGAAUCGCAAAAGAAAAUUACAAGAGAGUGAAAUUACGGAGGAACUUUUCGCAGACAGCGAUUCCAACACACAUAUUACAGACGACAGUGACAGCUCCGAGGAAGAGGACGGCAGCAUCGACCAAGACUUAGCUCAAACUCAGGCAGAGGAGUGGGUGCAAAAGUCAAGGAGCUACGUAUUCCAACAUCCAUUCAUGCAACAUCCAUGAAAAGGGUUUGAAUGCAAAUGAAGCUCCUAAUAUCACGGCAAGUUCCUCACCCAUGACAGUAUUUUUCCUCUAUUUUCAAGAAGUUAUUCACCUGCUAGUGCUUGAGACAAACAGAUAUUACUCCCAGUUUAUACAGAAAAAGGAAGUUGGAUCAUCUCCAGAACCCGACAUAAAAUACUCCGAAAUGUGUGCUUUUUUGGCAAUUGUGAUUCAAAUGGGACAUGAUAUCCGAGAUUCUCUAAAAGACUAUUGGGCACGAUUGGAACAGUUUUACACCCCUUUCUAUGGUAAUGCAAUGGCAUGCGAUAGGUUCUUACACAUCCUUAGGUUUUUACAUUUCACAAACAAUGAGAAUGAACCGAACAGGAAUGAUGAAAGUUAUGAUAGACUCUGGAAGAUAAGAAACCUUUUUGAUGUUCUCAGUGAAAAAUAUUUUAAACUUUACAGGCCUUCAGAGUACCUAGCAGUGGAUGAAGUCAUUGUUCUUUUCAAAGGCAGAGUGAUUUUCAAACAAUACAUUUCCAAAAAACACAAGAGGUUUGGAGUAAAAAUCUGUAAGUUGUGUGACUCGGCGGGAUAUACAGUAGACAUGACUUCACCUGGGGCAGGACAGGCAGAACGCAGCGCAAGACGUAACAGCUACGUGUGCGACUGUGAAAACUUUGCCGAGAAGGGUGGAAGGAAGGGGGCAUAAGCUCAUGAUGGAUAAUUUUUUUUCUUCUCCCGAACUUUUCGAACACCUAAGGAAAAUAAAAAUAAAUUGCUGUGGGACAGUUAGAGCAAAUCGAAUUGGUUUGCCGGAAGAAUUCAAAGACAAGAAAUUGAAAACGAAACGCGGAGAUGUGAAGGUGAGAUGCAGACGCGAUCUGACGGCGAUCAUUUGGAGAGAUAAAUGUCCAUAUGCUGACAAAUAUGCACGUGCCACCUGAAGAGGGGCACUUCUGUGAUAGCCAGGGGAGAGCUCUGAAUCCUGCAGUCAUAAAAGACUACAACAAACACAUGGGUUACGUUGACAAAUCCCACAGAAUGGCCAAUAGUUACUCCAUUAGCGGGCGCCCUUGGAAGUGGACGAAAAAGCUAUUCUUUCACCUCCUUGAUCUGACUGUUCUAAACUCAUGGGUUGCCUUUGUUUCUGUAGGGAGCAAGGUGACCCAUCGAGAUUUUCGGUUGGCGCUCGUGAGAAAUCUUUUGGAGGCCGCCGGGGGGAGAACCAACCUACUUGCUGCCUCGUAGGCCGGCCCGCUGCCGCCUCAGCCAGCGUCUUGCGCCUCAUUCGCCUGGACGCCAGAGGCACGAGCACUGGACAGAGAGAGGAAGGCAGGCCAGGCGCCGCUCACGCUCGCUUCGCGGCAAAGAGUCGCACCGUUUUUCGGUGCUCGAAGUGCAACGUAGGCCUGUGUGUAGACAACUGUUUCAAAUUAUUUCACACAAAAACAAUUUAGAAUAAAAAGAACUUUUUGAAGACCCUUUCCAAGAGUGAAACGUUAAGAAAAUGUAAUAAUAAAAAAGGAAAUGUUUAUUUUUUGUAUUGAAAAAACGUAAUUUAAA